CAUGGAAAAACUUUAUAACCACCUAUUGUCUCUUCGACACACUUGAGAUUUGCUGUUCACACAGAGAAAGAGACCAGAUCGAGAAAAAAACAUUUGUGGGAUUUGGAUUGGUGGGUUUGCUGAAAUUAAAAACAAAUAGGUACGAGAUCAAAGGCAGGAACCAUGUUUAUUAAGGUUAAUAAGUCCUUUAUUUAACUGCUAAUUAUGCAUUUUGCAGGUGUGGGAUCUAAAGCAGGAACAAUGCUUAUUAAGGUUAAUAAGUCCUUUAAUAUACACUUAUUAACAGUUAAUGAGUUCUAUAUGUUAUCAAGGUCGAUAAAAUGUGAGACAAAAAAUAAACUUACUGUAAAUACAAUGUUAUGGGGGUGAAGCACAAUAACACACUUUAAGACAGCUCUUUUAAAAAACAUUUUUGGAUUUCCAAUAUCAGUUGCAUGCUUUGAUACACCCUCACCUGUCACCUUUGAUAAAGUAGAUCUACUAACUGACUCAACAUAAAGUAGGCCUACUAGCCAACUAAAUAUAAAGUUGGUCUAGUAACUGACUUAAUUUAAAGUGGUGCAACUAGUGGACUAAAUAUAAAGUAGGUCAACUAGCGGACUAAAUAUGAAGUAGGUCUACUUACUGACUUAAUAAAAAGUAGGCCUACUAGCAAACUAAAUAUAAAAUUGGUCUAGUAACUGACUUAAUUUAAGUCGGUCAACUAGUGGACUAAAUAUAAUGUAGGUCAACUAGCGGGCUAAAUAUAAAGUAGGUCAAUAAGCGGACUAAAUAUAAAGCAGGUAAACUAACUGACUUAAUAUAAAGUAGGUCAGCGGACUAAAUAUAAAGUAGGUCAACUAGCGGAAUAUAUAUAAAGUAGGUCUACUAACUGACUUAAUAUAAAGUAGGUCAACUAGUGGACUAAAUAUAAAGUAGGUCAACUAGCGGGCUAAAUAUAAAGUAGGUCAAUAAGCGGACUAAAUAUAAAGCAGGUCAACUAUCUGAAUUAAUAUAAAGUAGGUAAACUAGCGGACUAAAUAUAAAGUAGGCCUACUUGCGGACUAAAUAUAAAGUAGACCUACGAGAGGACUAAAUAUAAAGUAGGUCAACUAGUGGACUAAAUAAAAGGAGACCUGCUUGCGGACCACAUAUAAAGAAGGCCUACUAGUGGACUUUAUAUAAUGUAGGUCUACUAGUGGAUGUAAUAUGAAGUAGGCUUACUAGUGGACUAAAAAUGUAAGCUUACCUUCAUGUACCAGUUAACCGGAUCAACUGGUACAUUCGUUUAGCACGGUAGAAUUUAGCCAGUGAUUACGUGAAACCUCCCUUUAGCUAUAAUAUGUUUUUGUGGAAUUUUUAUGGUGUGGUUAUAAAAAGAUAAGGAUAAGGAUAAGGAUUUUCUGAAAUAGGAAUGUACGUUUUCUAAACAUUAUCACAGAAUAUUCACACCUGUAAAUAUUUUUAUGGUAGGCCAAUUAUGUUCCUAGCAUGUCAUGCGUUAACUUUGUAGGUUAAGUUUAUAUGCAUAUAAGAAGUCCAUGUUUUGAUGAAAACUGAAAGCUAG
ensembl:lncRNA